GAGUGUUGAGUGUUUGUGCUGUUUAUUCUUUGCAGCGGAACGUCUGUCAAGUGUUUUGUUCAGCCGUGAUUUGGCAAGAAGCAUGGGUGCCAACUAUUGGCUCGGGGUGAAUCAUGUCUGGAAAGGUCAUCUCAGCCCUGUUUCCCAAGAUGCUGUGGGCUAAGGGAGCACCAGGACAUUAGGUCUGUUCCACUCGCUAACGAAACUCCUAUCCCUACUAUCAUGGAUUCGCAGUUGCUACAUGAGGGGAUUCUCCAGCUGUCUCUUCCCAGUUAGUAGUGCCUUGGGAAUUCGGAGUCAACAGCAUGCUUGAAAGAUUCAGCGUUCACCCACAGUUUAAGUGCUGUGUCAGAUGAAGGAUGUAGUGCUGUUUGCUUGCUUUGAGUAAAUAACUAGAAAAUGGUGGAUCUCGGGUGGUAAAUGCUCAAAGACUGCACUAUUGCCUGUAUGUUGUACAAAUAAAGAUUUUUGAGUCAUAUGUA